GAUGAACGCUGGCGGCGUGCCUAAUACAUGCAAGUCGAGCGAACGGACGAGAAGCUUGCUUCUCUGAUGUUAGCGGCGGACGGGUGAGUAACACGUGGAUAACCUACCUAUAAGACUGGGAUAACUUCGGGAAACCGGAGCUAAUACCGGAUAAUAUUUUGAACCGCAUGGUUCAAAAGUGAAAGACGGUCUUGCUGUCACUUAUAGAUGGAUCCGCGCUGCAUUAGCUAGUUGGUAAGGUAACGGCUUACCAAGGCAACGAUGCAUAGCCGACCUGAGAGGGUGAGCGGCCACACUGGAACUUAGACACGGUCCAGACUCCUACGGGAGGCAGCAGUAGGGAAGCUUCCGCGAUGGGCGAAAGCCUGACGGAGCAACGCCGCGUGAGUGAUGAAGGUCUUCGGAUCGUAAAACUCUGUUAUUAGGGAAGAACAUAUGUGUAAGUAACUGUGCACAUCUUGACGGUACCUAAUCAGAAAGCCACGGCUAGCUACGUG
rnacentral:rRNA from 1 species